GUUAAUCUUUUGGGUAUCACUGUAUCUGACAGUACAGUGGUACCAUGUGUCACAUUCUCAGAUGUCAUUGUACAUAUUCAUGAAUAAAAGAUUUAAACUGGCUUCAUACCAUUGAAAUGUUGUUUGUCCUCUCUCUUUUCAGUAUUCUUUGCCAUCUAGUCCUGAUUCCUGACUAUAGGUCUUCAGGAUGACCAGGAACUACAGGACGGUUUGAGCUACACUCUGCAGGACGUUGGUCCUCCAUGACCAGGACUGGACACCACUGUCCUAAAUAAACCUAAGGAGAGCCGCUCAGGCACAGGUCACUGCAUCUUUUGCUGUAUAAAAAAGCGCACAAAAAGCGGCCAGGCCACAGCUUCCGAAAUGGAAACUUCUGUCAAAUCAUGGCUCCAUAAUGCAAGAGACCGGGAUGGUGGAAGGAGCAGAAGAACCAGAAGACUGGAGAUCAGGCAAAGAUCUACUGGUACCCGAGGGGAUUGAUCAUCUCCAUCCACAAAUGAAUGAUUUCUGAAUGAUCAUGUGACACUGACAACUAGAUGCAGGCUGCUGAAUAUUAAGUUUUAACAUCACAGGAAAAUUUUACUUUGUAAAAUAUAUUAAAACAGUUCAGGGCUCGACAUUAACCCUUUUCCUGUGACGAGUAAAUCGGUCAUUCACAAACUUUGUUGUAAAUACAAUUUAUUCUGCAGCAUCAGUGUUAAGGCCGGCUGUGACAUGUAUAAAUCUCCAUAUUUAUGAUAUUUUUACCUUUAUAAAGGGCAUUUUCCCCAUUAUUAAAUAAAUGCUUCAUCUUUCAUUUUAAAUUCUUAAAUCUGAUAAAUAAAUUAAAUAAUUGUAA